rnacentral:rRNA from 1 species
GACGAGCCGUGCGAACGUUGUUCGGAUUCACUGGGCUUAAAGGGCGCGUAGGCGGACGGUCAAGUCAGGGGUGAAAUCUUUCAGCUCAACUGGAAAAGUGCCUCUGAUACUGAUCGUCUCGAGGGAGGUAGGGGCAUGUGGAACUUCCGGUGGAGCGGUGAAAUGCGUAGAUAUCGGAAGGAACGCCGGUGGCGAAAGCGACGUGCUGGACCUCUUCUGACGCUGAGGCGCGAAAGCCAGGGGAGCGAACGGG